CCUAUAAGACUGGGAUAACUUCGGGAAACCGGAGCUAAUACCGGAUAAUAUAUUGAACCGCAUGGUUCAAUAGUGAAAGACGGUUUUGCUGUCACUUAUAGAUGGAUCCGCGCCGCAUUAGCUAGUUGGUAAGGUAACGGCUUACCAAGGCAACGAUGCGUAGCCGACCUGAGAGGGUGAUCGGCCACACUGGAACUGAGACACGGUCCAGACUCCUACGGGAGGCAGCAGUAGGGAAUCUUCCGCAAUGGGCGAAAGCCUGACGGAGCAACGCCGCGUGAGUGAUGAAGGUCUUCGGAUCGUAAAACUCUGUUAUUAGGGAAGAACAAAUGUGUAAGUAACUAUGCACGUCUUGACGGUACCUAAUCAGAAAGCCACGGCUAACUACGUGCCAGCAGCCGCGGUAAUACGUAGGUGGCAAGCGUUAUCCGGAAUUAUUGGGCGUAAAGCGCGCGUAGGCGGUUUUUUAAGUCUGAUGUGAAAGCCCACGGCUCAACCGUGGAGGGUCAUUGGAAACUGGAAAACUUGAGUGCAGAAGAGGAAAGUGGAAUUCCAUGUGUAGCGGUGAAAUGCGCAGAGAUAUGGAGGAACACCAGUGGCGAAGGCGACUUUCUGGUCUGUAACUGACGCUGAUGUGCGAAA
rnacentral:rRNA from 1 species